UACAGAGGUCCCAAGCGUUGUUCGGAUUCACUGGGCGUAAAGGGUGCGCAGGUGGGUUGGCAAGUUUGAUGUGAAAGCCCCGGGCUUAACCCGGGAAUGGCAUUGAAUACUGCUGAUCUGGAGGAUUGGAGGGGGGACUGGAAUUCUUGGUGUAGCAGUGAAAUGCGUAAAUAUCAAAGAGGAACACCAGUGGCGAAGGCGAGUCCCUGGACAAUACCUGACACUGAGGCACGAAAGCCAAGGGAGCAAACAGG
rnacentral:rRNA from 1 species